AUUGAACGCUAGCGGGAUGCCUUACACAUGCAAGUCGAACGGCAGCGGGAAGUAGCUUGCUACUUUGCCGGCGAGUGGCGAACGGGUGAGUAAUGUAUCGGAACGUGCCCAGUAGCGGGGGAUAACUACGCGAAAGCGUGGCUAAUACCGCAUACGCCUACGGGGAAGGGGGGACGUCUUCGGAGCCUCUCACUAUUGGAGGCGGUCCGGAUAAUCGGAUUAGCUAGUUGGUGGGUAAAGG
rnacentral:rRNA from 1 species